UGACGUGUAGCUCAGUUGGUAGAGCGCCUGACUUUUAAUCAGGAGGUCGCUGGUUCGGAUCCGGUCACGUCAG
rnacentral:tRNA from 1 species